AGUGUAGUUGAUUCCACUUGGCACUGAACAGGCAAUCAGAUUUGCCGUUUUAUUUGCAGUCUAUGUAUCGGGGACACCUACUGGUUGGCACGGCUCUCCUCAGGUUAUAAAUACUGGCUGUGACGUUGCCUCAGCACCAGUAAGAGAGGAUUGAGCCCAUGCUGUGCCGAGCGGCUGAUGAGUGUGACCGUGACCGACCAGUGUGUGUCUCAUCGCUGUUUUUGCAGACAAUAAAGUCCGUUCCAAAUACUAAGAGUGUCGGCCUUCAUCCAGAAAAAUCACAACACAACGCAGACAGUGGUUACAAUGGUGCCGUGACCGUGCUUCAGGAGUCGCCACGUGGAGAGAGUGAACGUCCGCUCCUGGAGGAACAGUGACGUCGGGUCGCUGCUGUCGGGUCGCUGACUUGGUGUACUGCUUAAGGAGCGCAGUUUCGCUUUUUCGCCAGCAGGUGGAGCAGUGCUCACAUCCUUGUGUUCGAACGUA